rnacentral:rRNA from 1 species
UACAGAGGUCCCAAGCGUUGUUCGGAAUCACUGGGCUUAAAGGGCGCGUAGGCGGGCUGCCGCGUCCGGGGUGAAAUCCUCCCGCUCAACGGGAGAACGGCCUCGGAUACGGGCGGCCUCGAGGGGGGUAGGGGCAUCUGGAACUGUGGGUGGAGCGGUGAAAUGCGUUGAUAUCCACAGGAACUCCGGUGGCGAAGGCGAGGUGCUGGACCCCAUCUGACGCUGAGGCGCGAAAGCCAGGGGAGCGAACGGG